rnacentral:rRNA from 1 species
UACGAAGGGUGCAAGCGUUACUCGGAAUUACUGGGCGUAAAGCGUGCGUAGGUGGUUUGUUAAGUCUGUUGUGAAAGCCCCGGGCUCAACCUGGGAAUGGCAAUGGAUACUGGCAGGCUAGAGUGCGGUAGAGGGUAGUGGAAUUCCCAGUGUAGAGGUGAAAUUCGUAGAUAUUGGGAAGAACACCGGUGGCGAAGGCGGCGACCUGGUCCGGAUACUGACGCUGAGGAGCGAAAGCGUGGGGAGCGAACAGG